UGAAGUUGGAGUUACGCAUUCCUCAGGUUUCUAGCCGUUUUGCCUGCCAAGAACAUGGAGCAUGUAGCAACAAGCCAAGUUGCAGCAACAGGGCCUUGUAUAAGAAUGGGGGCAGCUGUCAUUGUCCUACUGAAAGAGUCUGCUUUCGCCAACCCGGUGCCCUCUAGCUCUUUUGGACCUCAACUCCUGUCAGCUCUAGCCAGACCCUAUCUCAAGAAGCAGGGCUGGGAAUAGGGGCGCUGACUCCUAGGGGCUGAACCCAUUUGAUCCCCUCCCUUUAUCUGUUAUGGGGGGCUGAGCCCCCUCAAAUGUUCAUCUGAGAAUUGCAUGUGAUGUCACCAUCGUACAUGACACCUGGACACGGUGCUGUCACGCGUGCAACUGCUGGGCUUUAUGUGUGUGCUGGUCCCGGGGGGUUACCGUGUGGCGAGGUCCGUGUCCAGUCCGGGGUCAAGGGUGUGGUGUGUAGGCUAUCCGUCAAGGCAGAAGCGGGGUCCAAGGCACAGAGUCAGGCGAAGUCAGGAACUCUGGCAGAAGAGCAGGACAGGGUGCUGGCAGGAACAGGUUACCAACAAUGUUGCUCCCACAACCUGGGACUAGGGCUGACUGGCUUUUAUCUGCCCCGAGGCAUCGGGCGGCCCUGGUCCACAGGUGACUUGCCUCUCCUGGCCUGGAGGCGAGCACUCCGCCUGCAGGAACUUAGUUCACUCCGCCUCUCUGCCCUGAGCCUCUGCAACUCAGGAGAGGCUAGAGGGUUACCGGACCCAGAGGCAACCUCCUCCUCACCUGACGGGGCUGAGAGUGGAGCACCUGCAGGCAAUGGGUCCUCCAGCACCUCAGGGGGCAGAGCAGACUCAGCUGGUGCCUGCACCUGAGGAUCCAGCACAGGUGAGGACACUUCAGGCUCAGGCCCCAGCCUCGGCUCAGCUGGUUCUGGAGGCGGGGACUCCUGUGCAGGCUGGGAUUCCUCAGGUUCAGCCUCUGAGUCUGAAUCCCAGGCCAUCACACUGUGGUUGCGCAAACCAGGAAAGCAACAGCUUCUCUGCAUCCUCCUCCCCCUCCUGCCAGAGACGGAAAGCAGCCCCCAGCUCAUGGCAGUAGCAGGAGGUGAAGGAAGCUGCCCCGCAAUGCCGAAUGUCCAGGUGUCGACGUUGUGUGUGAUGCCCAGACGUGACGUCAUGAUGUCGUACGCAACAUCUGCCCACCAGUCUCCUUCCCAAGUCAGCGUGUCUGCCAGAGAAAGACAAUGAAAAGCUGCAGCCAAUCAGAGUAGACCAGCUGUGAUGGCCUGGGAUUCAGAUUUGGAUGAUGAACCUGAGGAAUCCCAGCCUGCACAGGAGUCCCUGCCUCCAGGACCAGCUGAGCCAGGGCUGGAGCAUGAGCCUGAAGGGUUCUCACCUGUGCUGGAUCCUCAGGUGCAGGCACCAGCUGAGUCUGCUCUGGCUCCUGAGGUGAUGGAGGACCCAUUGCCUGCAGGUGCUCCACUCUCAGCCCCAUCAGGGGAAGCUGAGGUUGCCUCUGGGUCCGGUAACCCUCCAGCUUCUCCUGAGCUGCAGAGGCUCAGGGCAGAGAGGCGGAGGGAACUAAGUUCCUGCAGGAGGAGUGCUUGCCUCCAGGCCAGGAGAGGCAAGUCACCUGAGGAUCGGGGCUGCCCUGUGCCUCGGGGCAGAUAAAAGCCAGCCAGCCUCAGUCCCAAGUUGUGGGAGCAACUUUGUUGGUUGUCAGUUCCUGCCUGAACCCUGUCCUGCUAUCUUGCCGGAGCUCCUGUCCUCACCAGACUACAUGCCCUGCAUCCAGCUUCAACUUUUAUGGACUGCCUCCAUACUGCACCUUCGACCUCGGACUGGACUUGGACCUCACCACUUGGUUAGCCCCCGGGACCAGUACACCAGCCUUCUCCAAUAUGGUGCCCCCAGAGGACUACAAAUUCCAUUGUCUCUGACCAUUAGCCAUGCUGGUUGGGGCUGAUGGGAGUUGGAGUCCAAAGCAGCUGAAAGGCACCAGGAUGCCAGCAUGGUGUAGCAGUUAGUGUUCAAUUAGGCCCUGGGAGACCAGGGUUAAAAUCCCUGCUCAGCCAUGAAACUCACUGGGUAACCUUGGGCCAAUCACUGUCUCUCAGCCUAAACUUACCUCACAGGGCUGUUGUGAAUAUAAAGUAGGGAGGAAGAAAACCAUGUGUGCUACCUUGGGCUCAUUGGAGAGAAGCUGGGAUAGAAAUGCAAUUAGAAAUUUUAAUUAAUUUAUUUAUUAUUAAAUAUGUAUACUGCCCUAUACCCUCAGGUCUCAGGGCAGGUCACAAGAUAAAAUCACAAAAUACAUAAUUCAUACAAAAACAGCCCAAUAACAUACACACACGCUUGCCUGCAUACUUCAGUGACCCUGGGGAAAGCAGAAAAGUGUUGAAUGCAAUGGAUUUAUUAAAACUACGUCGGUAUCCAGGCCUGAUGUCAUCAUGCCGGCAAGAAGGAUUUUGGAUUGUAAUCAAGUCAUAGCAUCACUUUUAUUUCAUACGGAACCAGAAUGGUUUAUAGCAACACAUGCAGGUAACAUUUUGGAAAGACCCAGCCCUUCUAAGCCUUUGUGAGUAACCCUCUUUCCAACACAAAACAUGCAAGAAGCUGCAGCUCUCGGGAAAAUGUGUUCACCUUCGUGCUUUUCCCAUUCUGCUUAAACACAAGGUGUGUUUUCUUUUGAUUUCGCAUGCCUUUUCACAUCGGCUGCUGUAAAAAUAUUGCUAGAACUCCUGUUUAAUGGGGUAAAGCUGAAAAAUUAUUUAAGUUAUGCAAUGCAAUGCCUGUAUGCUCCAAACAGACAUUCCCGAGUCACUUUGCCAACACCUAGCAAUGGGCUCAGCUGGUCUGUUUCUAAUACUUAAAUAAGAGGAAUUACCUAUUUUUGGCAGUGAGGCUGGUAAAGUGCUUACUUGAAACAGAAUUCGUUGGCUGGAGGGGGGGGGGGCGAGAGAUGUGUUUUAAAAAUAAACAUAAAAGUUAAGAAAGCACAUCCGGAUUCAUAAUUACCCAUGCAGUCAGAAGGGAAAGGGGAACUGUAGCUGCUGUUGACCCAGCCAGUACUCCUAUAUGUUUUAUAUUAAUAUCCAGUAUAGGUAAAGGUAAAAGGUAAAGGGACCCCUGACUAUUAGGUCCAGUCGUGGCCAACUCUGGGGUUGUGGCGCUCAUCUCACUUUAUUGGCUGAGGGAGCCGGCGUACAGCUUUUGGGUCAUGUGGCCAGCAUGACUAAGCCGCUUCUGGUGAAUUAGAGCAGCGCACGGAAACACCGCCGGAGUGGUACCUAUUUAUCUACUUGCACUUUGACGUGCUUUCGAACUGCCAGGUUGGCAGGAGCAGGGACCGAGCAACGGGAGCUCAUCCCGUUGUGGGGAAUUGAACCGCUGACCUUCUGAUCGGCAAGCCCUAGGCUCUGUGGUUUAACCCACAGCGCUACCCGCAUCCCAAUAUCCAGUAUAACAUUAGCCAAAUUCCUUAUCAAGCCCGCCUGUGUGCCUGUAAUCAGGGAGUACCAGAUUCACUGGACCAUGUUCUUUUGGACUGCCCUUUGCACAGCAGACUCCGCAAACAGAUGCUGAGCAAGAUAUUGGACCUGUGACCCACGGCUCUGAGAGAAAGCCAAAUGAGGUUCCUCCUAGCGGAUAGGGACAAGGACGUUACUACCUCAGUGGCUUCCUUUUUAAUCUCCAUCUUACCCAAAGGGGUUAUUAAUGAAUUGUCCCUCUAGGGAAUAGACAGGGUGAAGCAGAACAAUCAAGUGCCUUGUGACCCUUGACAGCCUCACUCCUGUCGCUUUCAAAUUUAUCCUAGUGUUUUGAAAUGUCUUAACUUAUAAUGCCAAUAAAGGUAUUUGUACUGUCAAAAAAUAAUAAGUACAACAGCAGCAUUAUGCCUAUUCCACAACUGGGAGAGAGAUUCUUUUCAGAAUCUUUUUCAGAAUUCUUUUCAGCUCUGGAGCCGACUGAGGACUCCCAGGUAAGUUCCACCCUCUAUUGCGUGUGCAGGGUGAUCCUAACCCCACCUGGUCAACUCCCCUGGCAACACCUCCCCAGCUGGGAUUGGCUAGUUGUCUGAGGUUGGGCGGGAACCUCCAGGUAUCCAGCUUAGGGAGGCGAAGCCAGGCUGAAUUGCCAGGGAUCGUGUAGGAUCAAGGGGCUGCAUGCGACCACGCAAAGCGUGCCCCCCGUUUGAGGCGGGGAGUGGUCAUUUCAGACCUGACGGGGUGCACCUCUUUGUCAAGGGGAAUAAUAUCUGGUUGUCAGACAAUUAACUUCAGGAUAGAUGUGGAUUGUGGCUGGUAUAGGGCUUCCAAAACUAAUGGUGGUAGUGCCGCAAAUGCAGUGUAAACAAUACAUACACAGCCCCAGUGUACAUAUUAGAGGCAAUACCAGUGGCAAUCAGUACAUCCCCUCGGGUAAAUCAAACUGGACAUUGCAGAUUGAGUUGCAGAAUAAAAACUGGCAACGAUGCAGUCUAAGAUUUAAGGGCUGUGAGCAGAAGAGAAAUCGGCUACCACUUUAUUUUUCACACUUCUUUCUGUGUGAGUAAACUCUACAGAAAUCCAGAGUGGAGUCCCUAAGAUGGUUGGAUGGCACCUUGUAUGCCACCUCCUGGCAACUCCUGCAGCCAAGCUGGGGCCAAACGUAUUGCUCUGCUUUCCUUUGGACCACAUCAGUGAGGCCGAGAGUGGAGGGUCUUGCCAUCUGGACAGCCCAGCAGUUCCGUACACACUGCCCAGGCUUGCACCCUGGGAAGGUUACUUCAGUGCUGCUAAUGUCACAGUUUGACUUCACCCCUGGAGGUGCUCUCCAUUGUCUUCUGAGACAGACAGAUGCCAACAACAACAAUCUAUAACUCCUCUUGUAUUUAAUUUGGACUUUAGGCCCAAAUGAUUCUCUAGAUGUGGUCCUUUUGUAGUGAGCAUCCUGACUCAUUGCAUCCUGAAUCACACUGGCAGCCAGUGUGGUGUAGUGGUUAAGAGCGGUGGACUUGUAAUCUGGUGAACUGGGUUUGCUUCCCCGCUCCUCCACAUGCAGCUGCUGGGUGACCUUGGGCUAGUCACACUUCUUUCUGAAGUCUCUCAGCCUCACUCACCUCACAGAGUGUUUGUUGUGGGGGAGGAAGGGAAAGGAGAUUGUUAGCCACUUUGAGACUCCUUCGGGUGGGAUAAAGUGGGAUAUCAAAUCCAAACUCCUCCUCCUCCUCCUCCUCCUCCUCCUCCUCCUCCUCUUCUUCUUCUUCUCCUUCCUUCCUUCCUUCCUUCCUUUUCCUGCCUCCAACAGUCUACAGGAUUGCUUCAAAAAUGAAGGCUAUUGUCCAUAUUCUAGCAGGUACGCAGACACAAAUCUCUCUACGCCGUGUUGAAAGUAAUCUGUUCCCUGAUUUAUAGAGCCAGUGCUGUGCUCCCAGAGAGAGUCACAAGCCCACACGAAGUCUCCAACUGCUGGCUUUUGCAUUUGGAUUUUGGAGCUUGCUGAAAGAUGCACAAGGUCACUCACAGGCAGCAAAGCCAUUCCCUGUUGACCGUACACCAGAGAGAGGCUAUGAGUGUGGAAAAUCUUACACUAAGAAAACAUGCACCGAGCGCAGCCACUUAGGAUGGUAGGAUAUGAAUAAUUAGGACAGUGGAUGGGAAUCUGUUUCUCCUCUUUUCAAGUUAGUUCCCGUUUGGGAGAUUACUCUCAAGAACAGAUGUCAAACUGCACUGUGGAUAAUGCCAUGAUUCUGGAGAAUCAUGGUUAAGCAUGAUCAGUGUGUAGUUUGCUUCUUGUUCCUUGAACAUAUGCUGCUGAUCAUCCUUCUUUCUGAAGAAAAACAGGCCUGCUUGCAAUCAAGAUCAUGUUUGCCAUAACCAUUUGUUAGUAUUUUCAGGAAUAAAUUUGUUAGAGAAAAUGAAUUCUUAACAUAAUGAAAUGUAUCCCCUUGCUUCCUUCAACCUCGUGUAAAUUUCAAUCUGGAAAAGAGAGAGAAAGGGGGGACCCAUUUGAUCCAGAGAGAUACUCCAGAACCUAUGUCCAAUGGGGACAUAGAAACAUACCCAGUUUCCCACAUUGUGUUCAUAUGUUAGAUGUAACGUCAAUAUCCCAUGGCAGAGUCAGAAUAUGCAUCUUUUCACACCCAAUUUGCCAUCUCCUCUAUCCCACCUCCUUGAUACACCAAACUUUUAAGGAGCAAGGAUGAACAAAUAGAGCCCACAUGUUUGGAUUCUGUUUAAAUCAGUGGUGGGGAACUUGUGGUCCUCCAGAUUGUCUUGAAUUACAACAUCGACCAUCCAUUCCCAGUGGCUGUGCUGGCUGGGGUUGAUGGGUGCUAGAAUGCAACAACCUACAAAGGCCACAGCUUCUCCAAAUGCUACAUACAAAUUAGGGAUCAGGGCAGGCACACAACAGGGCAGGCAGGUGAGGCAAAGAGUCAAGGGCUGUGAUCUUGCUAUGCCCCAACGUGUACUCAUAAGAACAUAGGAAGCUGCCUUCUACUGAGUCGGACCAUUGGUCCACCUAGCUCAGUACUGUCUACACCAGCAGUGGUUCUUUGGGGUUUCAAGCAGGAGACAUUCUCAACCCAACCUGGAGAUCCCAGGGAUUGAAUCUGGGACCUAGCUAUGGCCUUUACCCAGAGAUGUGCUAAUAUGGCUGCAGUUUAUCUGUAGGAGGGCAAAUGCACACCACUGCCCAAGUUCCCUUGUUUUACUAAAUGACUUACCUUUUCGCUCCAUAAGACGCACCUGACCAUAAGACGCACCUAUGUUUUAGAGGAGGAAAGGGGGAAAGCCCCGUUUUUUGGGGAGGAUCAGCUCACAGUUGUGCAGCUUCUUUUGCAAAGGGGAAAAGCCCCUUUUUUUGAGCUUACUUUGCAAAGGAAAAAAACCCCGUUUUUAUGGGCUUCAACUCACAGUUCUGCAGCUUCUUUAGGAAAGGGUGCCAUUUUCCAGACAGAUAAUCUAAUCAGUCAGUCACAUGUCGCUGGGGAAACAAACAGCCAAUGGAGGCCUGGGCAAGGGGGCAGGGCCAGAAAGGGAGCCAGUGAUCGACCACACAUUCGCUCCAUAAGACACACAGACAUUUCCCCUUACUUUUUAGGAGGGAAAAAGUGCAUCUUAUGGAGUGAAAAAUACGGUCUAUUAGUUCAUCAAUUUAUUUACAUGGUUGGAUGUAAAUAGUGCUAGAGAAAGAGGUACUGGUACUCACCAUGAAUGCCUCCUUUGUUCUCAUACAAGGGCAAUGGCACCUACCUGAGAGGGGCUGGAACUGAGUUUAGGCUGAAAAAAGCACCCUGGAUGUAAGUAUAGGGCAAGUUCUCAAUGUGUUAAAAAAGAAGUUGUCCCCAAACGUUUUGUCUGCACUAUUUCAGUGUUCCUCAGUCCUGCGAUGAACUACAAGCAACAAGUAGCUCCAGCCACAGUGGUGUGCAUUCCUUCCUGACAUUUCUUCACCCUGCUUGAACACCUGUAGAGGGCGUGUGUAUUAUACUUGUGUGCUCCAAAGCUUCCCCACAAUCUGGACGUUGGGUGCAGAGAAUCCUCAAAUAGGGCUUGAGUAACCACCAGCAAGAGGUGUUCAUGUUUUCAUACUGCCAAAAUAAUGUUUCCAGGUUGAAUUCCCCCUCCCCAACUACCACCAAUUUUUAAAUCUUUGAGGGAAUAAACUUAGACAAUGGCUCAUUGAUUUAUAGUGAGUGUAGCAAUGGGUUUAUAACUGCAUGAAUCAUAUGGAUUGCUCAAUUCACCACAUGCCUUAAUAAAAGUUUCACUUUAAUAAAACAAAGUUAAGGCAAAUAUUCCCAGAGUCUGGCUUGACAUUCCUUAUACAUUACCCUGACUCAGGAAAUUAUUACUAUAUAUUUUACAGCAGCUACAGUAGUUUAGGGAUCAGGAUUAGAAAAUACUAACUACUGUGACAUUUAGCAGAACUCCUGUGUAUAUGUGGUUAACUCUUGAAGGGGUGGAAAGGAGCAAGGCAUUGGGACACAUAAAGGUUAUAAGCCAAGCAUUUUCCAUUGGUUCUUUCCAAAGUGAUGUACCUGGGCUCCUAGAAGGGAGCUUCCUACUAUUCCUACUGAGUCAGACUCUCAGUGCAUUUAGCUUACUAUUGACUGUACAGUGGUACCUCAGGUUACAUACGCUUCAGGUUACAUACGCUUCAGGUUACAUACGCUUCAGGUUACAGACUCCGCUAACCCAGAAAUAGUGCUUCAGGUUAAGAACUUUGCUUCAGGAUGAGAACAGAAAUCAUGCUCCGGCAGCAUGACGGCAGCAGGAGGCCCCAUUAGCUAAAGUGGUGCUUCAGGUUAAGAACAGUUUCAGGUUAAGAACGGACCUCUGGAACGAAUUAAGUACUUAACCUGAGGUACCACUGUACUAAGUAGCGCCCAUUCUCUAGGGUUUCAUCCAGGAAUCUUUUUCAGCCCUUCUGCAUUCUCUGCCACUCAGCUACAACUUUUCCUCCUGUCACGGCUAGAGUAGAAUACAAAGAGCCUCUUGAAAUUCACCACUGUUUGUGGACAGGCCACCAUUAUCCUCUCGUGGAGCUCACCAUCUGUCGUGGCAGAUGGCAGAUGUCCUGACAGCUUCCUUCUCUUCCCCCCCCCUUCGUUUCUGCCAUCGUUUUCCCCAUAGCAUUACUCACAACUUUGGUGGUUUAGGCCUUAGGUGGAACAACUAGUCUAACAUCUGGCGAGGAGGUGAAGGGGUGACUCACCCCCCUUCUUGCAGCGGCAAUAUCAGGGUACCCCAUAAGAGGGGUCUUGAGUGAUGCCUCUGUCCAAAAGGUCAAAGCACAUGGCUGGAGGGCCACAGAGAUUCCCUCAGCACUUUGGGGAGGAGGCAUCUGCCUAGACCAUGAACCCAUCUUCCCCAGGAAUGACCCUGUCAUGCCCAGUGGUGUCCUUCUGGGUGGACGCAGGGGUACACAUACCCCUAAACAUUGUGUGAAUCUUUGUACUUUUGUCCAUUUACUGUAUUUAUUUUUCCUGAUUUGAACUAUAUUUUAAUAUUUUGUUGAAGCCGCCCAGAGUGAUUGGGGAGGCCCAGCCAGAUGGUUGGGGUAUAAAUAUUAUUAUUAUUAUUAUUAUUAUUAUUAUAUGGUGAUUUUCUUGAGUCAAAAUGAGAGUACCCCUAAACAUUUUUUUAGAAAAAAGCACUGGUCAUCCCUCAGACCCCCAGCAGGGGGUUGAGAGGGAUAUACGUAUGCACAAUGCCUAUGCCAACGCUUACCUACAUCUGAAACCAGUAAAGUUGUGGCCAAUUUUAAUCCCAGAAUGUUGUGGUCUCCAGUUCUUCCCUUAGCUGUCUUUGCGUGGGGGUUCUGCAUCUGAGUACGCAACUGCACAUAGAGAGUUUAUGUUUGGUUCAAGUGACCAGCUGAAUGCAUGGGGGUGUGUGUGGAAGGGCUUGCCACCUCAAUUUCAUUCUCCCCUGAACAUAUUCAGUCCACCCAGAUCAAUGGAAAAUCCUUUUCUUGUGGGAAAGAGGAUGGACAAGGGUCUCACCUUGCCUUAAUGACCUGGUAGAAACUAUUUGUUAAGUACAAAUACUCCCCUAUUAAAAAGUUAACACUCCAAAAAUAUAUGCACACACUCAUUUUCUGCUUAGCAGUCACAUUCUUUAUUGUUCCUCGAUGAGCUAACCAUGUACGGAUUACUUCAGUGAGUUUAUUGUGUGUUCCCAGGUGACCUGUAUAAUACUGGUCUUUCCUUCUUUCCAUCCUUCCUUCCUAUUUCAGGAAUCUGUGUUAUGCAUUAGAUUGUUUUUUACUGGAUGGAGGAAAAACAAAGCUUUCAAUAAAAACAGUUUGUUUGGGAUUUAAAAAAUAAUAAUAAUAUGAGGAAGUCUUAUUGGAGAGAGAUCGAAUAUGCGCAUAUUCCAAAAUCACAAAGAACAUGAUGUUAAGGUGCUUAUGUUGAUUUCUGUCGGAACCAUUAUUACUAAUAUAUUUGAAAGUAUAGCAGCACCACAAAAGUCUGCCGUGUUCUAUUCAAAACAUCCCUUCGGAUGAAAGUGCGUAGCAAGUGACUAGUUGCAUACCUGACAUAUCUUGCCAUAAGUAAGAAUGUCUAAGAUUUAUAGCAAAAGGGUAGCUUCCUAAUGACUAAAACACUGGUCUUUGUAAAACAUGGAAUUCCCUCUGCAUCAAUAGAAAUAAAAUUUCAUUCUAAGUGUAGAAAAUGUAUAAAAGGUUUGCUCACUUUUAUGUGGCAAUUAUACUGUGCUCCUAGGACCUUUAAAAGAAUGGAGGGAAAUGCCCGAGAGGAUACCAAUCUGUAUGGAAUGAGGUAAGAACAUCAUGCAGCUAAUACAUGUGGCUUAGGCUACAAUGCUAUAUACAUUUACUAGAGAGAAACUCAGUGUGGCUUACUUCUGAGUAGUCAUAUGAGCCCACUUAAAUAGUUCACACAUAGAAUCACAUGAGGAAGAAACUGAGGAUGCCACCCACCCAUUCUCUUGGUAUCUCCUUUUCCCAGUCUUAAAUUCAGUUUCGGAAUUUACAUGUGUCUUUCUUUAAAAUCCUAAUGAAAAUUCUUCAGUAUUUUACUGUGAAUUUCUCCUUGCACAACUCAUACCCCUGAUUGUACACAGAGAGUCUGAACAAGUAUAGCAGGCUCCUUAAUGCACCAUUUUGACUCAAGAGGGCAGAUCAAAUUAAUCCUAAUAUGGCAUUACUCCUCCCCCCCCUCAAAAAAAAAAGAUUCAUGGUCAUGUCAGGAGCUCCCUGGUCAGGUCAGAACCCUGAGCUUGUAUGUGUGUGCACAGCCAAAAUACCCAGAAAUUACAGUAUCCGUUAAAAAAAACACAGAAUUUUAUUUUAUUUUUUAUUUUAUUUAUUUUGGGCACUCCCCGCUAGUACAAUUGUAAAAACAAGUAAAACAGUCCCCUCAAAAAAGAGCAGAAUAGCAUAGAUUGAACAAAGGGGGUGGCUGAGUCCUACAAAACAAAAUACCUUCAAUGUCAAAUGCUGGGUAAUUAUUAUUAUUAUUAUUAUUAUUAUUAUUAUUAUUAUUUUAUUUAUACCCUGCCCAUCUGGAUGGGUUUCCCCAGCCACUCUGGGCAGCUUCCAACAGAAUAUUAAAAUACAAUAAUCUAUUAAACAUUAAAAGCUUCCCUAAACAGGGCUGCCUUCAGAUGUCUUCUAAAAGUCUGGUAGUUGUUGUUCUGUUUGACAUCUGGUGGGAGGGCGUUCCACAGGGCGGGUGCCACCACCGAGAAGGCCCUCUGCCUGGUUCCCUGUAACCUGGCUUCUCGCAGCGAGGGGACCGCCAAAAGGCCCUCGGAGCUGGACCUCAGUGUCCGGGCUGAAUGAUGAGGGUGGAGAUGCUCCUUCAGGUAUACUGGGCCGAGGCUGUUUAGGGCUUUAAAGGUCAGCACCGACGCUUUGAAUUGUGCUUGGAAACGUACUGGGAGCCAGUGUCGGUCUUUCAAGACCUGUGUUAUGUGGGUAAGAGGUGCCUCUUCCGGAAACCAUGGUUCCAUUGCCAGGGCAACUGGGAUGUUGAGUCAAAGGACUGUUUGCUGGCAAGGAUGUAAAGGUGACUAGGGCUGGGCCCAAAAGGAAGCCUUUGUUGCUCUCCAGAGUCCAUAGGCAGGCUGUAGAAGGGAGCACAAGAGAGAAAGGUGCAAAGCCAACCCCGUCUCCCCUGUAUCUGAGACCCAGGGGAGGGGGGGAGAAAGAGGAUAGGAAGGAGGCUAAUUGCAAAUCACACACAAACAAAUAUUCGGAGGGCUUCUCAAAUCCCUCCGUUAAUAUAUAGUGUUGCCGGCUUCUAGGUGGAGAAUGUUUAAAGUUUGAAGCAGUGCCCCAUGCCCUCAUCUCAAAUGCUACCUCACGCUGUCCACCAUGAGAAAUGUGCCUUCCCCUCCACAAGUGUGCUGGUUACUGCGGUUAAGAUAUUGUGCAGCUGCACUGGUGGCACAUUACAUUAUUUGUUGCCUGUAAAAGUCAGCAGAUAGCCAUGAAAUAAGUGCGCCUUUGUGAGCGAGGGCCCUCUGCCUGGGCUUUACACCACAUUGCUUAACCUGGCCUUCAGCCUAUGUAAAGACACACAGAUUAUAAAGAAAACACUUCUUUCAGAAUGCAAUGUGAAAACUUGUAAAACAUAGUCUUUGUCCACACAACAUGUAUUCAUUAAGGAAUGUUAAACAAACACGGUAACAUUUCAAGUAUUUUUCUCCUCUCUCUCUCUCUCUCCUUGCAUAAGGUUGGGGUCCACAUCUUCAUUCCCAAGUAGGGUCACUGGAGUAACGCAUGUAAACCAGUCUGAGAGGUGAGCUAGUGGGGAGGGGGGUUAACAAAAGGGUAUUGAAUCCAACAACCUUCUUGAGGUGACCAAAAUAUGAGAUCCUAGUUUUGCACAACACAUUUAAUGUGUCACACCAGUCUGACUGUUCCAUGUGGUUUGUUGCAACUCUCUCUCAAACAAGGUUGUCCCCUCCUGAUGAUAUCAUCCUGGACAGGACGUUCACCUCUUUUGCUGUGCAUCUAGUCCACCAUUCUUUUCCCAACAGUGCCCCUGGCCAAUAAGAUUACUGUUUCUCCUGUCCAUCAUCUGGGAUGAUGGUACCCAAAGACCUUUAAACAUGGAUGUUCCCUUGAGCUACCACCACUGAUGGAGACCUUCCAUGGACAAAUGUCCUGAAGAAGGAUUCCUCUGAAGGUGAUGUCUCCCCUCCCACCAUUCACUCAUAUAUUUAUAGCAUGUGGGCGGGAAAACAGGUGCCUGCCACUCUGACACAGUCUCUGUAACUAGGGUCUGUGUGCAACACUCUUUCAGAUACACACCUUGUAAGAUUGUCAUAAAAGACAUGGGUGCCUCUGUUUACCCAUUCAGUAUUGGACAAGCAUUUUGGAAAGCGUGGUAUGAGUCAUGCCCAAUAUAUUAGUUAGUGGCACUUGUCCUGUCCAAUGUACCCCUUCCUUCCUUCCUUCCUUCCUUCCUUCCUUCCUUCCUUUCUUCUUCAUUAUCUUUACACACCAAAAAGUGUUCUGUAAGCGACUUGUGCUAUGCGUGUGAAACAGUUCGGCCUGCACUGAUUCAUACUUACUAUCUUGACCUGUGUUUUGGUUUAUAGUAUAGUACAGAAGUGUCCUUUUUCACCGGUCGCUCCAGUGUGAUGGAAUGUGCUCUGAUGAGAGGCCUAAUCUGCAUUGACAUCUCAUUAGCUUUUAAAGACAGGCAUUCCCUCAAUCCCUCAAUCUGAAUCUCUCGUAUUUUAUCCCUAUGUUGUUUUAAUGGUACUGUUCUAGUCUGCGUUUUAAUUAUGGGUAUUUCUCGUUUAGUGGUUUGUGUAUCUUUGUUUUUGUACUUAGAAGCCCAUUUUGUCAGUAAGCAGUGUAACAACAACAACAACAACCACAACUGUCUCAAAAAGCUUACAAGACUCAGCCCAAAAGACUCCUUUCCCAUCUCAUAUAUUUCACUAGAGAAACAUCUCUGUUGUGUUCUUGUUUUUAAUAUUCUUGCAUUCCUUCUUAUUUUGAGUACUUCAUAGAUAUGCCACCACCACGUUAUUGCUUGUCCUUGGGGGACGUGCAACACAUUUGGACUGUCAGAAGCUCAGAUGGAAGAGACAUUUGAGGCAUGGGACCACAUAGGAUGCAGAGUGCAUCUGGAGAAUGAAGAGAUUCAGACCACUGAGGCUUCCAUAUGUUACUAUAAAUGGACAGGAGAACGUGUGUAUGAAGUGCCCAGUUUUACUCAAAAUACCUGUGGUAAAUGAAAUAUCGUAUAGGUGUCUACUUAAUACGAUAGUCCACUAAGGAACACUCAACAGAAAAUUAUCGCCUGCUGUCCUAGUAGGUCAUCUGUGUGUCCUUUCAAAGCUGGUAUCCCCAAGCCAUGGAAAGCUACAUAUUUUGAGGUGAUGCUGAAGAGGGAGAACUGAUAUAUAGUGCUUUCCUUUAGCAAGGCUGACAGGAAAGGGACCGGGGAUUAGGGGAGCUGUUACAGAAGAUAGGCUGGUGGUGCUGUCAAAAGAAGAGUGAAUGCUGAGGCCUCGGAGAGACAAAAUGGAGGCCCCUCAUGGAAGAGGGCAUAGAUUAUGUUAAUUUUUUUAUUUUUAAAACUCCUUCUGAUUUCAGCCUAUGACUCACCAUUUGUGUUCUUUUUCUCCCCCCCCCCCCACACCUCCAGUUACUGUUUGAAAGGAUAUUCCAUGUAAUAAUAAUAAUAAUAAUAAUAAUAAUAAUAAUAAUGUAUUAUUUAUACCCCGUCCAUCUGACUGAGUUGCCCCUGCCAUCCUGGGUAGCUCCCAACAGAAUAUAAAAAUACCAUGAAGUAUCAUAUAGGUCUCCUUUUAAUAGGAUAGUCUACUAAGGAUUAGUCCACUAAUCUUGUUUGGCACAAAGGACACAUUUACCUUUGGUCAGCCUGCCAGGGGCGACAUACCAUUGGUGGUUGUGGCCAUUUCACACUCCCAUUCUCUCAAAGACAGAAGCAACCAUACACACAUCUCCCUUCCUCCAGUUGAUCCAUGCAGAUCAACUGAGGAGGGGGUUUAUUGCUCUCUCUCUCUGCUCACAGAACCAGGGAGGGGGCAAUUUGCAUCCUUAUUAGGUGCUGAGCUCCAUCCACCCAUAGCACUGAGCGUAAUUUGGUUACUCCGUUUAUUUUUUGCUCUUGCUACCCACAAGAUCAGUGGGCAGAAGAAUUUGUUUGUGGGGCAUGAUGAGGGCCCCCCGACUGAGGAAUAAGCCAUCUCUGUGUGAAUGAUUUGUUUCACUCACCUUUUCCCUUACCCUGUAUCCUAUCCAGAUAGCAGAGACGGCAUCUCCAUCAUUCUACUGACAUCCAGGUGGGUCUUUGCUUUUGCAUUGGUUCACGUGGCACUGAUCCAUGUUUGGGGAGGUCAAGGCUGGCUGUGCUCCUUUCUCUCUCUCUCCCCUCCCCUCCCCUUUCCAUUAUUUCUAGAGCUGCUUCGAGAAGGCAAGGCUGAGCAGCCAGUCUGUGUUUUUCUGGUGUAUAGUUUGUUUCCUUUACCCCUGGCUUUUCGAAGGGAAAAUCUGAAGCUCUCUCCCUGUGCUGACUCCCGUUACUCUUUACAGUCUCUAAUCUCCUUUUAUAAUUUCCGCCUAACCUCCUCUUACCGUGAAACUUGACAAGAGCAUCUUUUACACCCCUCCUCUGGUAGUGCUUACUAUGACCUCAGCCUCCUUCUCCUUAUUUUCCCACCUGACUUGGCACCUGUUUCUGAUUCCAUAAAUAAGCACCAUUAUGAAACAGCUUGGACUGGUGCUCAGUUGGCACAGGUGUGAAAACAUUCUGUUCCUUCGCGAGCAACCUAUCAGCAUUUUCAAUCUUUCAAAAUGGAACAGCAAGUGCAUACACAGACACACCGGUGCACACAUCCUUCCAUAUGCUUUCAGUUUCUGUGUGCUUGCUCUGAACAUGCGGGGAGGGAGAGUUUUAAGCUUGGGAGGCCAGGUGACCUUUUCCCACUUCAUGAUCCACAGAAGCUGCCUUCAGGAGAGCAAUCUCCCUUUGUAUAGUAUACCUCUGACAGCUUCUCCAAUGGGCUUCUUUGCAUUACUGCUUUGCCACAGGUUCAUUUCAACCUGAAGUGGGUUUUAGAUGAUUUCCUAGAAGGCAGCUCCCAUUCUUGAUUGUGAAAGAUUAUCAGUGGUACCUCAGGUUACAUACACUUCAGGUUACAGACUCCGCUAACCCAGAAAUAGUGCUUCAGGUUAAGAACUUUGCUUCAGGAUGAGAACAGAAAUCAUGUUCCAGCAGCGCAGCGGCAGCAGGAGGCCCCAUUAGCUAAAGUGGUGCUUCAGGUUAAGAACUGUUUCAGGUUAAGAACGGACCUCCGGAACGAAUUAAGUACUUAACCUGAGGUACCACUGUAUGCAGUUUUAAUUAGAGCAGCCAGCCAGAGAAACACUUACUUAAGGAUCUGGUCAGGACCAGCCCAGGAAUAUUUUUAGCACCUGAGGUGAACCACAAAAUGGUGCCUCCCACCCCACCAGAGAAGUAGGGGUGAGUGAAGAACCGCAUCAGAAACAGGGGGGAAAUAAAGAUAUACAUCAGGCUCUGCUGCACCCAUGGAUCCUGCCACCCAAGGCAGUUGUAUCACCUUGCCUCAUAUGCGGGCCGGCCCUGGGUCUGGCUGCGUGUGUGUUCAGGUCAGGCAACAAAAGCAAUGAGAUGAUGCAUAUCAGUAGCCUUGACUUCAGUUUAGGCUGGAGACAGAUGCUCGAGUGUGUACAUGGGGUGGUGGUCAUAUAGACUGGGUAAUGCUUGAUGGAGGAAUUGCUGAUCGUUUCAGUUUGGCCUCUGGUGAAGUUUUUGAAAGUGUUUUGAGCUGCUUCAGAAACCUGCCUUACCUGUUGACUAGAUGAGACUGCAGGGUAAGGAUGUGGUUUGUGGACAGAGGGCAUUAUUAUUAUUAUUAUUAUUAUUAUUAUUAUUAUUAUUAUAUUAUUAUUAUUAUUAUUAUUAUUAUUAUUAUUAUUAUUAUUAUUAUUAUUAUUAUUAUAUUAUUAUUAUUAUUAUUAUUAUAUUAUUAUUAUUAUUAUUAUUAUUAUUAUUAUUAUUAUUAUAUUAUAUUAUAUUAUUAUUAUUAUUAAAUUUAUAUACCACCCUAUACCUGGAGGUCUCAGGGACGUUCACAAAACAAAAUCGUAAUAUAAAACCACAAGAUAUAUAAUCAAAAUAAAAAGAACAACCCAAUAACCCCCCCCCCCCACACACACACCAAAAAGAACCACAUUUAAAAGGGCAUAAGAUGUCAAUCUAAUCAACCAAAGGCCUGGUUAAGAAGGAAUGUUUUUGCCUGGCACCUAAAGCUGUAUAAUGAAGGUGUCAAGUGAACUUCCCUGGGGAGAGGAUUCCACAGACAGGGAGCCACUGCAGAGAAGGCCUGUUCAAAUGUGAGAAAUGGGACUCAGAGCACUCUCCUGAUCUACACCCCUAAACUGGUUUGGGCAUUCACGACUCAAAGCUCAAGAUAAAUUAACUUUUCUAGGCAUAUCAUUAUUGGUAUCAUGUGAGGAGCGUGCUUGAAAACUGUAGCCAGAAUAGCACCCUCUGGAUAUUGUAAGACAAUUCUCAUCAUCUCAUUGAAAGAGGUGGGUUUGAUUAAUGUGGAGAAGGGAUGUUUAAAAGGGAAACAUAAAAUACCACAUACUAAUAAUACUACACGGGACGCGGGUGGCGCUGUGGGUAAAACCUCAGUGCCUAGGACUUGGCGAUCGUAUGGUCGGCGGUUCGAAUCCCCGCGGCGGGGUGAGCUCCCGUCUUUCGGUCCCAGCUCCUGCCCACCUAGCAGUUCGAAAGCACCCCUAAGUGCAAGUAGAUAAAUAGGUACCGCUUUAUAGCGGGAAGGUAAACGGCGUUUCUGUGUGCUGCGCUGGCUCGCCAGAGCAGCUUCGUCACGCUGGCCACGUGACCCGGAAGUGUCUUCGGACAGCGCUGGCUCCCGGCCUCUUAAGUGAGAUGAGCGCACAACCCUAGAGUCGGACACGACUGGCCCGUACGGGCAGGGGUACCUUUACCUUUUAAUAAUACUACAGAAGAAACAUCAGCAUACUGAAGGGUUUUGUACCUUGGCUGUCCUUUGAAAGAUGGGCCCUGGGAGGCAAGAAGGGGAGGAAGACAAUGCAAGAUAUCACCCUCUCCAGAGAACAUGCUUAAUGCUCCCAUGGCGAGUUAUCAAGUGACUCUUGUGUCACUAGACUAAAAAGAACGCCCUUUUCCAAGGCGUGACAACUUAUUAGUUUUCCUUUUCGUAAAGUGUAAGCAGAAUCCACAGUCACUUCCCUUCCCUGAUACAAAACAGUGGGUGGAGUCAUAAAGAUGCCUAGAAGAGCUGGCUGAAGCAUUUAAAUCAUUCCCGAUCUUAAUCUUUUAAAUGUUCCCUAAGACUGUCAGGGAGCAUUAUCAGCACAGAAUGCAGAUGCUGAUGAGAAAGUCUACUCACAUCACCAUCCACUUUCUCUCUCACUCGCUGAAUGAUCAAACCAAAGGAGAUCACUAUGCCUCUAGAGGACCAAGGAGCCAGCAGAGGGAGGUGUCACAAUGAAGGGCGUGUCACAAGGACCUCCGCAACCCAGCAACCACCAGCACUCAACUGACACUACUCUCAGCUGACACUACUAAGUUUGCUUAUAUGGCUUUUAAUCCACGUUCAGCUUUUUACAAGUAUGUAAAAUGAAAUUUAUCCCUUUAUAUUCAAGCUUCUGUUGUUCCUGCACCUACUGAGCAUUAGCUAUCUAAUCUACCUCUCUGCCUUUCUGGUGCAACUGCCACACACACCAAAAGGCUAUGGAAAGGGCCCUGUGUCUUUGACAAUUCACAAAGUGAUUCAUUGCAGCUCCACAGCAGCCCUUUCCUUCUUUUCAGUGUCAUCCUGUAUUGCUGAACAGUGGAAAACCAGAAAUCACCCCUUGCAUGUUUAUUCAUUUUAUUUCUCUCCUUCACUAGCAGGUCCCAGGACAAGUUACAACUAUCUAAAAGUAUUAUUGUUGUUGUUAUUAAUUAAAUUUGUAUACCUCCCUAUACCCACAGAUUCCAGGGCAGUUCACAGGAUAAGAUCACAAUAUAAUAAUACAAAAUACGUAAUAAAAAUAAAAACAACAACCCAAUAGCCCUCUCCCCCAAACAACACAUUUUAAAAGGGCAUAGGAUGUCAAUCAGAUCAAUCAAAGGCCUGGUUAAAAGGGAACGUUUUUGCUUGGCGCCUAAAGGUGUGUAAUGAAGGCGCCAGGUGAACUUCCCUGGAGAGAGCAUCCCACAGAUGGGGAGCCAUUGCAGAGAAGGCCCGUUCUCAUGUUGCCACCCUGUGGACCUCUUGUGGAGGAGGCACACGAAGAAAGGCCUCAGGGUAUGACUGGAGAGGGCGGUGGUCCAUAAAGAGACCUAAGGCCAGAUGGAAAGGCCUGGCCUCCAGGCCUGAGCUUCCCCACUCCUGGGCUAAAAUAUCACAAAUGGUCUGAUUUAACUAUGUCACAAACUGGUGAGUCGAUAAAACAAGCUAGGCUUAGCCUCUGUCCCUCAGUGUGAUGAUUCGGGAUGGUUCAGUGGAGAGAAAAUAUUUUGUUCACCCACUUAGUUCCUUUCUGCCAAAAAGACUGUGGUUUGAUGCCUGGCCGGUGGUUAAGAAUUCUGAUUCAAGUUUCCAUUUUCAGUUGUGCCCAAUGAUGAAUCGGUCUUGCCAGUGCAGGCCUUCAAAGGAUUUUGCAGUUGGAGGGAAGACGUGGAGAAGCCUUGAGUACCACCUGCAUGCCAUAUGUUGGCAAUGGGGAUGUUCCUCUGGUGGGAAGAGGGAUUAUGCGAUGGCUUCUCCAACGUUAAACAGAAGCCUCCUCAUGAGAAUAUUUGGGGAUUAAAAGAGAAUAAGAACAACAUCUGCAGCAAUCACCGCAGAAUGUUAUGGCCGGUUAGCUUUUACGAGCCCAAUCCAAUGUCCAUUGAAGUCAGUAGAAAAAAAACCACCUCGCUAUUGACUCCAGUAAGCUCUGGCUCAGCUCCAUUCAUAUGCAACUUAAAGUAGGAAAGGGUGGAUAUUUUUCUGGCAGCAGCAAUAUUUUUCGUUGAACAAAAAAUGGAAAGACCCAGUAACUUUCAAAGAAGUGGGCAGAACAAACAUGGAAGAUGCGGGGUAGCCUACUGAUAGAAAAGCUAUUCAAAUAGGUCAGUACCAGAAGCAGAAAUGGACAAUUUUAUGAAUGGGUGGUGACAUGUCAUUGCGCACAGACCAGGUACAUUUAUAAAAGCUAGUGAAUGAAGAACUAACGUAGUAUAAAUAGGAGGAAAUAUAGUGAUGACCAGAAGGUAGGUCUGCCAAUGUAUAGAUAGGUCCAUCAACAAGAUAAAUGCAGCCACCAGCCACAGUCAACAUGACCAGUAGGCAAAAAUUAAGGGAGUUGGGAUCCAAGAACUUCUGGAGGUCUGUGAGUCAAAGGCAAAUGUGUUUAUUUUUUAGUCUGAUUUGAUUCUAGUGGGUUUGUUGUUUUUUUAAAUGAUAUUUAUUAAAAUUUCAG